UAGAGUGUGGUGUAAUGUGGUAGCACGGAGAUUUUUGAAUUCUCAGGUGAAGGUUCAAGGCCUACGACUCUAG
rnacentral:tRNA from 1 species